GACUUGGUGGUGUAAUGGUAACACUCUUGCUCAACAUAGCUGUUGGGGAAAAAUGUUUGUGCAAGAGAUCCCUGUUCGACUCGGGGUUGGGUCA